rnacentral:rRNA from 1 species
CCUACGGGAGGCAGCAGUAGGGAAUAUUGCUCAAUGGGGGAAACCCUGAAGCAGCAACGCCGCGUGGAGGAUGAAGGUUUUCGGAUUGUAAACUUCUUUUGUUAGAGAAGAUAAUGACGGUAUCUAACGAAUAAGCACCGGCUAACUCCGUGCCAGCAGCCGCGGUAAUACGGAGGGUGCAAGCGUUACUCGGAUUCACUGGGCGUAAAGAGCGCGUAGGCGGGAUAGCAAGUCAGAUGUGAAAUCCUAUGGCUUAACCAUAGUACUGCAUUUGAAACUGUUAUUCUAGAGUAUGGGAGGGGUAGGUGGAAUUCUUGGUGUAGGGGUAAAAUGCGUAGAGAUCAAGAGGAAUACUCAUGGCGAAGGCGACCUGCUAGAACAUAACUGACGCUGAUGCGCGAAAGCGUGGGGAGCAAACAGGAUUAGAUACCCCAGUAGUC